rnacentral:ncRNA from 1 species
CAUGUGCUUGGCUGAUAAGCCAAUGGUGCGAAGCUACCAUCUGAGGGAUUAUGACUGAACGCCUCUAAGUCAGAAUCCCGCCUGGAAAGCGACGAUGCAUUCGUGCCUCGGCCUCGAGAGGCGUAGCUAGACGGCCGUGUGGCCGUGGAAAGAGCCCGAUUCCGACCCGAGAGGCCGCGGCAAGAGGCGGCCUCGAAGUCGGUGGAUCCUCCUGCUCGAAAGGCGGGGUGCUAAACCAUUCGCAGACGACCUAGUUGAAGAUCGGGGUGUCGUGAUCACUAGAGCAGUACAUCUCACUGCGAUUUGUUGAGAGUAAGCCUCAAGAUCUGUCGGUUUGU